GCACCGUCUGGAUGAGGCUGAGAAUCUGGCCAUGAAGGGAGGAAAGAAACAACUCCAGAAACUGGAGAGUAGGGCGCAUGAGCUGGAGG